CUCGGCUUCAUGAGUAGAGAAUUGUUUCCAGGAACUCCUUUUCCCCAGCAGGUCUGCCAGAUCCCACUUUGCCCGCGCUAAUUAGACAGGCAGUCUGCCUUAAAUCAUGCUGGGUAGGGUUCAGUGCUGAGCUUGAAUUACCAGAGGACUCUUACUUUAUCAACAAGAGUAUAUUGGGCUGGAACCUGCAAUCCAAGUGCCCUGGCGGUCUAUAUUUCACUUAUUUCCAGAAGAAAAUCUCAAGUUCAGAGCAGCAAGUCAGACAAGGGUUUGUCAUCUUUGAGAUUUCCCCCUUAAGAAGUGGGAUUAGAUUUCCAAGAGACUUUUGCACCUACAAAUAUGUACAGACUAAGAACUGACAGAAGGCACUACUUCCAGAUGCAUUUCCUCAGUCUUGCAGAGUUCAUAUAAUAUGAUCUGUGUGAGAAACAUCAUUUGGAAAAAAGGGAAUUUAUAUGUUUUCAUGUGUCAAUGCUGCCUAAUUAUUAGAAGAUGAGGCUGAAUCCUCCAGAAAAAAAAGACCAUAAAAUUAGAGCUUCCAAUGAGGUAUAAAAACU
rnacentral:lncRNA from 1 species